CGUAAAGGUCACAGCGGCCGGU
rnacentral:siRNA from 1 species